CCUUCAUGUUGCUCCUGGGGCUGGCCGGAAAGCACCGACACUCCUCUGCCUUAAAAACCGUGAAUUCCACCCCCAAGGACUUGAGUAAGUGGAAAACAAAAGGAAACACAAGCUGCAAUGUUUGUUUCUAAAUAUUUUUGUAUUGUGUACAUUCUGUAUAUUUUUGUCGUAACAUAUUAUUCGAGCACAGAUUCCAUUAAAGAUUUUUUUUUUUUUAAGCCAUCGGUUAUUCAGGAAGUGGCAUAAAGGGCUGGCGUGGGAGCCCUGUUUCAUCUUUGGAGGUGGGAGGUGGGGUGGGGGGACAGCAGCGGUGCUGGGCCUGUGAUGUGCACAAGACAGAGCUGGGACUCGGCGCUUGGUGCUGCUGCUGGUGCUUCCAGUCUGGUGGAACCGUUUUUGAAUUGCUGAGCUCUUUGGAAUAGUUGAUGAGAGCUAGGUUUUCUCUUGCCCUAACAAUGCGCAGGUAGACAGUUUUGUGUACAAUGUGGAGGGGGGAGGUGGUCUGCAAAUAAGGAAACUCACUCAGCUUCAGGUCAAGAGCUUUUGUGCCAGCUGUGCUCGUGGGGGCCCCGUCUUCCCCUUCUACCCUUACACGGUGGGAGAUUAAUGUUUUGACUACUGUUAUUGUCGUAAUCUUUGAAAUACCUAGGUACUUCGUUCUUUACCCCAAUAGCCUAGUCUGUAGGUCUUUCUAGGGGCAGUCAACAUUCUGAUCUGGAGGAAGGGAUAGGGAACGUUCUCAGGGUGAAAGGACAUGGUUCACGUACAGAAGGGGAAAACAAGAAGGGCGUAAGCGUGAAGGUCCAGUGCUUGGUAGGUUUAACAACCAAAUGGGCUUUGAAUGGAUGAAGUCUGAGGAAGUGAGUUGUUUACUCCAGCUUUUCUAAACCGAUGACAGCGUAUGUGGUUUUGCAAUUCAUAACCGUUAAAUUUCAUUCGGGGAUUAAACUACUCUGUUAAAUUCAGCACGGGAGUCGUUUCCCAUAAUGUUCUUUCACAUCAGUUUCCUGUAUGUUAUUAAAAGAAAAAAAACAUUAAAAAAUUUUUUUUAAUGUUUAUUUUAUUUUUGAGAGAGAGAGAAAGAGAGAGACGGAGCAUGAGUGGGGGAGGGACAUAGGGAGAGGGGGACACAGGAUCCAAAGCAGGCUCCAGGCUCUGAGCUGUCAGCACAGAGCCUGACGCAGGGCUUGAACUCAUGAACCGUGACAUCAUGACCUGAGCAGAAGUUGGACACUGAACCGACUGAGCCACCUAGGCGCCCCCCCCCCAAACCACAUUUUUAAAUGCUGCAAAAGUCAUUCUAGAACAACUUGAGUACAGCUCAGGCUGAAGGUCAAAAAACUCAUUUCUCUUUCAAGUGUGGAUAACUAACUUCCCUAGAGGGAAAAUCAGGACCCUGUCUGAGCACCCGUGCACCCCCUGUACCCCAUCAGUUCCAGGCUCCAAUACCUGAAGCACUGACGGACAAGCUCCCUGAAUAGCCAAAAGCUGUUUAGAUGGCUUUGCCUUUGGCUCCCUAUCACUUCCCCCUUCGCUUUUCUGGUUCCUCCCUUCUACCAGAUUCUCAUUCUUCCCAUAACUUUGUAAGACAUUAACCAGUGAUAAGGUAAUUAUGAAGACAAUUUACUGGUUACUUAGUAUGUGCUGGGCACUGGAUUGGGCAUUUUCAAUGUAUUAUUUUCAUUUAAUUGCAUAGCUACUUGUGUGAAGGGAGUAUAAAAUACGCCCAUAUUUACACAUGAGGGGAAGGCUUAGAGUUUAGUGACUGGCAGGUGCUUUAUGGCAUAGAUGGCUUCAUACUAUGGUUCCAAAGUUCAUGCUCUCAACCCUCAGCUGUUCAUCGGGUGUUCAAGGACACUGAAGUGUCAGGGAGUUUGUUUAAAGAUCCAGUCUCAUUGCAUUAGUAACAGUAAUGAACCUUGGAAUGUUUGUUCGGUGUUCACUUAAUAGGAUCUCUUUAUCAGCCCUCCUGGAAGUGGUUUACAAGAAAAUCCACAGCUAUGAAUUCAUUACUGCUCCCUAAUCACCCCUGACCCCCAGGAUCUAGCAUCGAUGCCAACUCAGAAUGAUACGAAGUCUGUGACCCAUUUGGGAAGGCUAGCAGUUGUAGAACUGGGGCUGCCCUCCUAGACCUCCAAGUAGAGAGACCGUCGAUGUCAGGGGUGGGUCUCCACUACUGAGAAGACGCAUGGUUAGGAAAACGUGGUCCUAACUGAAUCUUAGCUCCCAGAUGCCUGCAGGCUUUCCUUGCAUCCGGUAUACGUGCACCUCCGGUAAAGGACAUGCGUUCUGUCACGUUAGUAAUGAGUGAGAGUGAGGGGAAGUGACCUGCAUUAUUGGGUCCUACAGCUGUAUUUCCUUGGACAGUGAGUAAAACACUGCGAUGGAGACUGCCCUUACACUGCCUGAUGCCUCCUGCGAGGUGCAGAAAGGUGUAUGCUGGCAGGUGGUGUGAUUUUCUUCAACAGGUUCCUUAGCGUAACAGGUGUAAUUUCCCCAUAAACUUGUUGCGGAUGAAUAAAAAUGUCAUCGUUGAGAAUGGAGAUAGUUAAAUAAAAAUGACUCUGUCGGUGAGAAGCUAAGUCAGUUUAUUAUUAUUAUUACAAAUCUAAUUAUAGGUAAACUGAGGCCAUUUUUGAUACAUGACAAACAUACAUUUCCUCUGUGUGUCGAGCACACAAGUAAUACAUAAAUCUAUUCCGUGCCUGGACAAAUCCUGUUUAAAAACUUUAAAAGUUAAUUCAUUAGCUUAUUAAAAUUUGAGUACAGUACAUGUUUCUGGUCAUGAGCUCUCUGAGUUUCUUCUCAUGGCCAACCAGCUAUCCAGUUCCAGGUCACCAUUGUCCUUGCCUACAGUAGUGAUAGUUCGUCACAGGCUUUAAAAUAAGACUGUAUGGUAUACAACUAUGUAAUGUAGUGAGCCUGCAUCACAAAAUAAAUACAUAUAAGUACACAUAAGGAAUGUACAGUUAUACCUUGACUAUAUCCAUAAAUAGCUUGAAGCAGGUAAUACAUUUAAAGGCCAUUUACAUCAUGGGCUGUUGAUAUGUGAAUUUGAAAAUGAAAAAUAUUUUUUUUUAGACUCCAAAUGUUGAGGUCCUAAUGUUGUCUAUUAAAAAAAAUUGAUUUCUAAAUGAGCAACAGAGUACAUUAGAAAAAGUCAGAUUCGAGGGUAGUGCCACAGAAUUGCCUGUUUCCCAUAGUCAUUCUGUAAGUAAUGCUAUAAAAAAUGCUAUUUGGAAUUUUUUUUCCCUAUACUGCCUACAAUCCAAGUUAUUAAAGUUUAAAACCAUAGGAGAGCCUUUAUGAAGAUCCUGAAUUGUAUUUCUCAUUAAAGGAAAAGAAAUGGCUUGGUGAGUCAUGUUCCUCGACUUCUGUAGAAGAGAAAGCAGAAGGCCAUCGUCAGUCAUUCUGAAAGUUAAAACUCAGCACUUAAGUGAAUUUAGAUGAGUUUAGGAGAGGAUUUUUACGGGCUUGUGUUCCUCUGAGCAUCCUGACGGCAGUGAGAAUGGGACUUCUGAUCUUCUAAACAAAAAUCAUUAUCAAAUGGAUUUAUUAAAGAGCUGCGCAGAACAAACUGCCAUCAUAUGUGUGUAGCUACGGUUGGCUUCCGUGGGAAUUAUAAAUGGCUCCAGAUGAGGGCACGUUCAAUUGAUUCAGAGUAAAACAACGUGAGGCUUGUAACAAAUAUUCAAAAAACUGAAAUCAAUGAGUAACUGUGAUAUGAAGAAUCUGUUUGCGUCCUUCAUGUUACAGUCUGCUUGUAGAAUUUAUGUACUGUUUCUGUUUUAACAUCUGAAAACUAGCAUUUUCAUAGAAAAGACAAAGUACAGGCUGUUGGCAAAAUACCUGUGAACAAAUGAAUGAUGGGGGCCACUUCCGCAGUAGCUUUCCAUCCGAGAUAAGGUUUUAUCUUGAAGCUAGUGCGUCUAUUUUUAAAGCUCAUUUAAUUUCUUACACACUCAUGAUUUGUGUAUUGACUUAAAAGCUGGUUUUAUCAUCCAUACCAUUAUCAAUCAGACCAAAAAAAUCUAUCCAAGCACCCACAGGAUGCACAGAUCUAUCUUUGAAAUGGUGUUGGAGGGCUAAUCUUGUCCUAGGACUAGGAGGACAUUUUUUUCAAGAAGCUAUAAUACAUUGAAGAAAGAAGUAUUACAAUUUUUCUGGGAGGAAAAAUUGCUAAAUACUGCAGCCAACUUCUCAGAGAAGCCACAGAAUUACUGUUCAAGAUUUUUGAGCAUCAACCCCCCGAAGUCUAGAAUUUAUGGGGCCAGUGGUAUACUAAAAUUCCACGACUCUAACACACGUGCGUCUGGGACUCAGUGAAGACGGUCCUCGGAUUUUUAUGUCUAAGUAAGUUAAGUUUUACAAGUACAAAAUGAAAAAAAUCUAGAGUGGGUUUCAACUAAUCUUAAGUAGCAAUCCUAUGACAAUUAUGACAAGUGCAGUUUCAAACACCAAAGUUUCAAUGUACGACUUCACAAUACAAUGAUCUCAAAACGUGUGAUCACAAACUUUGGGCGAGGGCUUCUUUCAUAAAUUCCUCGAGGACGGCCACCACGUUCUUGGCCUCGGGCAUUUCUUCGUGUUCCACUUUAACAAUCUUCAGAAGGAUAUCUCCACUCCCACAGUUCUUCAGGAAUGUGUAGCAUUUAAACAAAGCAUAAUGAUUCAUUUCUGCCUGUCGGAUAAAUCUCUUCAAAUUAUUUGUGUCUUGUAUGGCCUAGAAAAAGAUUUCCCAGUUAAAUAUGUGCUUAGUGAGAUAAUAAUGAAGCCUGAAAAAUAUCUCCUAUCCAGCUGAGAACUCAACUUACAUUGCUGAGAUGUUUUUUAUUUUAAAUAUUUCUAUCAUUCUUACUGCUAAUAUGCUUUGCCCAUGGGAGAACAAAAUUUCUUAUGAAAUUGCUUUAUAAAAAUACUUUUAAAAAUACUUUUAAAAUCAACUAAAUAAAGUAACAACAUUCCUCCCCAUCAGAAUUCUGAACCCUUAGGCACCGAACUGGGGUGUGUGUGCAUGGGUGUGUGUGUGUGUGCACACGCGUGCACGCACAGUUCCCAACUAAGAUACAUCACAAAUUAGAAGACUGAUGUGCCUGAGAUGCAAGCAAGCGUUCAACCCAAUUAAUUGGAAAUGCAAGGAUAUAAAUGCACAAGCUCCUGAAAAAUAUAAAGUAAAUGGCUUCUGGAGAUUCUGGUUUUGAGAACGUCCUGUUUAACAGACAUCACAGCCGUAAAGCAGAUCUGUUACUCUCUCACUGGUACUAAUGAAAAUUCAGACAAAAAUUAUAUGUGGCAUUUGGCACAUAGCCAAUUAAUUACCUUUAGUUUAAAGUUCUCCAGUACUUGUCGAAAAAGAAAAGGGUUACCUCCUUCGGUGCCAUUCAAAAAAGCCUGCAUCCAAUCCUCACAAAACCGGUUGCUUCCUAUAAGGUAUUUUAGAAAAAUUAAACGAAUAAAAAUGAAAUCCUACAAAGCAUAAGACAUUUGUUCUAUUUAUUUCAUUUAUUUAUUAACAGGUGUAAAUGACAUAUAUUAGUUUCAAGUGUACAACAUCAUGAUUCAAUAUGUGUGUACGUCGGGAUUUUCUUUCUUGAUAAAAACACUUAUAGUGAAUUAUUUAAGACUUCUAUAACAGUCUAAAAAAAUAAUUUUUUAAAAAAAAAAUUUUUUUUUUUCAACGUUUAUUUAUUUUUGGGACAGAGAGAGACAGAGCAUGAACGGGGGAGGGGCAGAGAGAGAGGGAGACACAGACUCGGAAACAGGCUCCAGGCUCUGAGCCAUCAGCCCAGAGCCCGACGCGGGGCUCGAACUCACGGACCGCGAGAUCGUGACCUGGCUGAAGUCGGAUGCUUAACUGACUGCGCCACCUAGGCGCCCCCUAAAAAAAUAAUUUACUCAACACCUGGCUAAGAAAUACCAACUGGCGGGGCGCCUGGGUGGCUCAGUCAGUUAAGCAUCCAACUUCAGUGUAGGUCAUGAUCUCGUCAUUCCCAAGUUCAAGCCCCACGUCGGGCUCUGUGCUGACAGCUCAGCGCCUGGAACCUGCUUCAGAUUCUGUGUCUGCCUCUCUCUCUGCCCCUCCCCUACUCACACUCUGUCUCUCUCUCAAAAAUAAAUAUUAAAAAACAAAACAAAACAAAAAACAACUGGCUGGAGCCCUGUGUGCCUCUUCCCAAUCACACUCCCCUCCUUUCCCAUCAGAAAGGAUUAUUAUUCCCACUUACUUAUUUUUAAAUAUUUUUUUUUAUUUUUGAGAGAGAGCAUGAGCAUAAGCGGGAAAGGGGCAGAGAACUUUUGCCACAUACUUCUUUUUAUCUCUAAGCCCUAGAUAGUAUUACUUUGCAUACGUUAAAAUGUUAUGUAUUUUUCUUUAAUAGCUGAUUCACUAAAUAGUAUGCUUCUGAGCUAUACCAAGGCACACGGCUCUAGUUCAUGCAUUUUUGCUGCUAUGUAGAACUCCACUGUACAAAUGUAAGUUUUUCAAUCUUCCUGUUGAUAAACAUUUGCUUCCAGUCUGCUAUUUCAAAUGACGCCUUUAUGAACAUUUUUGUACUUGUUUCCUUAUGCACACAUAUGAGAAUUUCUCUAUAUACACAGGAGGGGAAUUGCCUGGCAUGGCAGGAUUUCCAUGGAUUCUAUUCUAACCAGCAAUCCUGGUUCUAGGAUUGCUAUUGUUUUUGGUGAGUUUGAGAUAAACAUGUACAAGUGCACAACCAGGACGGAUAAAUUUGUAUCAUGUGUUUUCAGUGCAAAAACAGGCUCCCAAGAGUGCCUCAGAAGUUGCGCUCACCUGCAUUGUAGAACUGGGGCUGGGAGCUACUACAAUCGAUGACCACAGAUUUACGCGGCUCCUCUGUCAUGGCCAUGCACAAAGACGUCAUGGUGCCUUCGUGGAUGAGGCCUUGAAGACUGGCUACGCUCAGAAACCUGCCGUACACACAAGUUCUUUUCCACACACAGUAUUACAGGAUAAGAGGGAGAAAGCAAAUUCAUUCUGGGGUCGGUGUGGGGAUGGGGAGUUAAAGAUGUAUAUCAGGCUUGCUGUGGAAAAGUUUCCUUCCUUGCAAAACUGUUCUUUACCUGUUAAUGUCUCUCUUUGUUUUUUCAUCUGAUUCUUUAACUUCAACAGGGGUAUAACUGAGAGCCUACAAGAGAAAAAUAAAGCCUAAUUGAUACAUGUAUCAGUUUUCCUUAUUGAGCAGCUACUUGAGACUAAACUUCAGCUUCCCCAAUAACCACUGCACUAGCCCAGAACUCUCCAGAGCUUUGUUUUUUUUUUUUUUUCAACGUUUAUUUAUUUUUGGGACAGAGAGACAGAGCAUGAACGGGGGAGGGGCAGAGAGAGAGGGAGACACAGAAUCGGAAACAGGCUCCAGGCUCCGAGCCAUCAGCCCAGAGCCCUACGCGGGGCUCGAACUCACGGACCGCGAGAUCGUGACCUGGCUGAAGUCGGACGCUUAACCGACUGCGUCACCCAGGCGCCCCUCCAGAGCCUUGUUUAGAGGCGUCAGUGGGCAGUCUAAAACGUGCUUUACCACCCUGGUCUCAUGGACCAUCCAGUCUCCACUGAAUUUACCCACCACAUAUUUACAUAAAAGCCUGGCCAUAUACUCUAGCCUUCCCCAUUGCCUGGAUAUGUUAAUGCAUUUUUCAUUUUUCAUCUGGCAUUUUUUUUUUUUUUUAAGUAAACUCUAUCCCCAAUGUGGGGCUAGAAUUUACAUCCCCCAGAUUAAGGGUUGUACGCUUUACUGACUGAGCCAGCCAGGCGCCCCUAUUUGGACAUUUUUAUAUGGUUAAAAUCACUUUGGAUUUUUAUUUUCCUUUUCAAAUUGUUUUGGAAAUUAUACCUCUCCCAGAUCACUUCAAAAAGUAUUAUUUAAAAAUGUUCAUCCUAUUAGGAAGAUUUAGUAUUUGUGAUUCUACCUUAGGAAUAGAACUUUCUAGAUCUCAGUAAAGAAAGUGGUCUAUCCCGAUUGCAAGCAUAGUUUGAAUAUUCAGGAGGGAAAAAGUAAUGUUCAGAGACAGUGAGUAUGUCUUUAAAUAAUCCAGACUCUGUCAACGUGACUCUCAAUUAAAGAAAUGCUUUUGUUUGGGCAAUACUCACGGCAUGCAGCAGAAAGGUAAGCUUCUCCUGAAAGAGAAGAACCACCCUUUGGAUUGGGCAUACAACAUCCUCAAACCAGCUGCUCAAGUAGGAUUUUAUAUGGUUCUCCAGGCCCCUUUCCUAGAUUAAGAAAGAAUGUUAUUUGGUUUAAUAUAAGCCUUCACUUUAGUGGACUUAACAUUUUCUUCAUGAUAUGUAGUUAUCUAUUUAUUUGUUGAGAGAGAGAGAGGGAGCACACACACAAAGGGAAGAAAGGCAGAGGGAGGGAGGGAGGGGGGGAGAGAGAGAGAGAGAGAGAGAGAGAGAGAGAAUGAAUCCCCAGCAGGCUCCAUGCUCAGCACAGAGCCCGAUGCAGGUCUGAAUCCCACUACGCUGGGAUCAUGACCUGAGAUGAAAUCAGGAGUCAGACCAUCAACUGACUAAGCCACCCAGGUGCCCCAAUUCAUGAUACUCUUUACAGUGUAAAGAACUGGGGAUAGACACUUCCUUUUUUCAAGCUAACACGACCAACUCAAAAAAGGAAUUGUGAUAUAAUUUUCCUAGGCUUGCUGAGCACAGUGGGGAUUAAUUCUGUACUGAAUUUCUUAAGGAGCACCUGGCUGGUUCAGUUGGUAAAGCAUGGGAUGGGACUCUUGAUCUCAGGGUUGUGAGUUCAAGCCCCAUGUUUGGUGUGAAACCUACUUUAAAAACAAAACCAAACCAAAAAAACACACACACUUAGAAAUGCAUUACAUAAAACAAAGAGACCAAAUCAAUAGGGUUCCAUGCUAUGUUGUCACCGGGAAAUGUCGAGCACUUACUUGUCCAUCUCCUCCCCCCCCCCCCCCCCAGUAUACCGUGUGCACUCUGGAGAUUUUCUUCUUUUAAGAUUUUAUUUUUCAGUAAUCUCUACACCAAAGGAGAGAUCGAAUUCACAACCCGGAGAUAAGAGUCAUGCUCUACCAGCUGAGUCAGCCAGGCCCCCCAGGAGAUACUGUCUUAAUAAUUCUUGUCUCUCCAGCACCUGGGAGUGCCUGAAACAUCCACGUGUGAGCUUAUAAAGCACCUGCUGAAAGGCUGAAGAAAUGAGAUAGUUCAUUCACAUGCGAACGGGAUCAGAGAAGGACACACAAGUUAGCUCAUCAAAGCACUCCAGCUGUCAGACAUGCUGCAUAUCUGGUUUUCUGGGCUGUGCAUAUCUGGGCUGAGCAUAUCUGGUUUUCUGGGCUGUGCUGCUCACUGGGGACUAGCAGAAGAGCUCCACUCUAGGAGAGCAGCUUGCCCCGGACUCAUUGCUCUGGCUCACUCCUAUGCUCUCCUUCCUGCAGGAACUUGUAAGCUCAUGACAAAAGGAAUUGUUACCACGUGUAAUGGGUAGUAAAGUCGUAAUUCUUUUUUUUCAACGUUUAUUUAUUUUUGGGACAGAGAGAGACAGAGCAUGAACGGGGGAGGGGCAGAGAGAGAGGGAGACACAGAAUCGGAAACAGACUCCAGGCUCUGAGCCAUCAGCCCAGAGCCUGACACGGGGCUCGAACUCACGGACUGCGAGAUCGUGACCUGGCUAAAGUCGGACGCUUAACCGACUGCGCCACCCAGGCGCCCCGUAAAGUCGUAAUUCUUAACGACUUUAGCAACUGCCACAAGUGGAGUGUGUAGUUUUUUAAAGGUAUGGAUAAAUUAAUCAAUACAGAUGUGUCUAAUUCACAAAAGAUCGAUUAAUGAAAAAUGGGAUUUUUCUAAAAAUCUUUGAUGUUGAGUUCAAGGGCAGUUAGACCACUAUAUAGCAUGUCUUUGGUGCCAGAGGCUUCUUCAUGGGCAUUAGUUCUGACCAGAAUAUAAAUCUUAGGGGCCUAGAAGCCAGGAAAAGAGCAUACUCUUCCUUCUUGGCAAGUUAACCAUAUACACUGAAUUUAAUAGAGCAUAUCUUUCAUGGAUACAAAAUAUUAGAAGCAGUCUUGUGAAACUUAGAGCACUUACAGGACUAGGUUCCCUGCUUCUCUUAACAAGUACCCUUCUAGCCCAUAAAGCAGUACAUUUUUAGAAUCUGUGUGUCUUUGUAUCCACCUGUUUGGUUUCAUAAGUACAGCAGUUAUAGUAUGUUAAUCAUCUCAAGCUGAAUAGUUAAAACAAUCAUCUUACCUCACAGUUCAUGUUAUUUUUCAGGCCUUGAAUGUACUUGUCCAAUUCAAGCCUGAAAGUAUGUUCUUAAGGAAGCAAUAAAGGAUGGAUCAAGACAGUGUUUUUAUCUCUCAAUGGGAAAUAUAAAAUCUCUCAAUGAAAACUGUAAAUUCAAAGACAAAGUGGUCAUAUGAAGGUAUGAAACGAAGCAAACACUUAAGGGGUAGAAAAGCUCUUAAGAGGUUGGUAGUAAUACUCCUCCACCUGGCUUUCCAUGUUUUUCUUCCUGAUACCAUCAAAGACAAAAGAAAGGAUAUAGCUCAAGUCCUUUUUCAGACCCUCCUAAAAAACAGACCACAUACUCUGAAGCGUUACGUUCAGAGUCCACUGUUGCUGUUUCAGGAAGCAGUUUUUCUUGCUGGAAAAGACAGUAAUAACAACCGACCCGGUAAUCUGGAAUCCUGGAAAAGAAAAACCAGUAAAAUGUAGUAUUUUGCUAACUCAUGCACCUAAUUUUACGGACUGCUCUGAACCCUGAUCAUCUGGAUCUGGCAAUACUGUUAGAUUGCAAACGGGGUCGGAACUUCCUAGACUCUUCCUUGGUUUACUUGUAAUAGCAGAAGAAAAUUAACAUGCACCAUCACGGGCUUUAGCAAAAGCAGCACCUAACAGAAUUCCUUUGAAUUCUCCUCUCUUACGUGAAAAACACAUACAAAUUCUCUUGUCAUUCUUGGUAUAUCCACAUUUACAUAAAUAUAACCAUGUUCUCUCCCCUAAACCCUGACGCUCCAGGCAGAUACAACAUGUUUAUCCUGUGGCUUUAUCUUUGGCCUGUGGCUGUCCUCUGAGGGGACUUGAUGCUAAAAUCAUAUUCUGAAGUGAACUACAGUCAAGGGAUGUAACGGAAAGAUGGCUGGAAUUCAACGGAGGACACCUAUGUUUACACCUGAACUCCAUCAACAUGACCAGCCUUGUGAUCUUAGUGUCUUUGACUAUAUUUGCUUCUCUGCUCUUUGACCCCUUUGUAGAGAGAAUGGCAUCAAAGUUUGUGAAAGCUCUUUACAGACUGUCAAGUGUACAAUUUUCGUUUUGGUAAUUAACUCUCUUCUUCCAAGUGCAAGACUAAAUAAGUGCACUUAGGAGGCAGAGUCUGCCAUUCAAGUAAUUCCAUUCCACAAAUGUGUGUGUGUGUGUGUGUGAGAGAGAGACCCAGUGCUCAGGCCGCCAGGGAACAAAGAUGCACUUUGCAAGUCUAGUAAGAGCUGAUCGUUUGGAAUUUCUCAUCACUUCUCAUAUUUAGCCCAGAAAGAAAAAUUCAGGACACAGCACAUUUUACACUUACCUCAGCUCCACAGAUGCAACAUUACCCAGCCCUUCAAACACUGCUCCCUUAGAAAGACGCUUAGCAAUGAAACUACGCAGGUCUGGCUCCGCUUCAGAUGGCAGAUUAGUGUCCACCAAGGAGAGGCUUGACAAAUAAAUAAAAGACACACAUCCCUUACCAGUGGACUAAUGCACGCACACCCCGUAAGGCAGAAUAUUACCAAAAGCCCCAAUCUCUUUAAGGACUUGAAAAAGCUUAUGUUUCCUGUUGGCGAGCCUUCUAGGAGUGUAUGUCGCCGAGUAGGAUCUACAUCAUCAAACACUUAAAAUAAUCCUACCUUUCCAGCUCAUUCUCUCUAGUAUUAUGACUCCACUGGAAUCCCCUCCACUCACCUUACCUACUUUUCACAAUACAAUACUAUUGCAACACCUGAAAAAUUCCUUAAACCAUCCAUCAUCCAGUCAGUGAACAUAUUUUUGUAGUAUACCCUACUUUGCAUCAAGUGUUAAGGUUCAUUAAUUCAUCCAUUCAUUUAUUAAAUAGGUAUUAAAUGUCUACCCUAAGGGUUCCUGGGAGGCUUAGUCGGUUGAGUAUCUGACUCUUGGUUUGGGCCUAGGUCAUGAUCUCAUGGUUCGUGGGAUCGAGCCCUGCGUCAGGCUCUGUGCUGACAGUGUGGAGCCUACUUGGGGCUCUCUUUUUCUUUCUGUCUGUCUGUCUGUCUCUCUCUCUGCCCCUCCCCCGCUCACACUUUCUCUUGUCUCUCUCAGAAUAAAUAAACCUAAAAACCAAACGUCUACCCUAGUACCUACCUAGGUGCCAGGUAGGGAGAUACCAGUGAACCAGAGAGACAACAAUCUCCUGGAGUUUACAUUCUAGAGCAUAGCAGAGAAGCUCUGAAAAGGUAUUGAAAGGAGGGGGAGGAAGGGAGGAUUUUAAAUCACUUUAUACCCAUAUGAUAUUGAAUCUCUAAUGCAGUUUCCAAUCAAGAACUAAGAUUCAUUGCCUCUGGCUAAUCAGCAGGGGCACCACCAGUAUUUCAAUCUGCCCAGCCUUGAAUGAAUGAACUAAUGAGGAAAUCCAGAUGAGGUUCCUAGGGGAUAGGUGGACUUGAUGGUUUGACUUGGGGAAAGCCGAAUGGAAAUAGGAUACCCACUGAUAUCUAGAGGACAGAGAGAUGCACAGAAGAUAACUGCACACGCACGGGUUAUGGCCAAGAUGUUUUUACCUGAAAUCAUCACCAGAGGGAGUUCCUGCAUUUGUGCCACUUGGGCUUCCAUCGUCACUGUCCCCUCGCUGCUGUGCCAACCUGCACAUGGCAAAAGCAAUACAGCUAUCAAUUAUGGGCUAUAACUCAAGCGGAGUAUGGCCCCUACCCCUGUAAGCAGGGUGCGGGUGAACAGUCAACUAAAAUGCUGCAAGGUGGAAGUGCAUGGAUCCUCCAUUGCCUAUCCUCAUGGCAGGGAAAACCCAUGAAACAGUGCUGACAAAAGCCCCUUCUCUCUCCAGGCCGUUAAGGGCUGGAGGAAAGGUUAAAUUAGAUAUCCACAAAAGUCAAAGAAAUUUCUUCUAAAAACCAGACUUUACAGGGCCCAGAGAGCCCCAGGGAUGUCUGCCCCAACAGAGGAAAUAGAGGCAGCGAGGGCAGAGGAUAANNNNNNNNNNNNNNNNNNNNNNNNNNNNNNNNNNNNNNNNNNNNNNNNNNNNNNNNNNNNNNNNNNNNNNNNNNNNNNNNNNNNNNNNNNNNNNNNNNNNNNNNNNNNNNNNNNNNNNNNNNNNNNNNNNNNNNNNNNNNNNNNNNNNNNNNNNNNNNNNNNNNNNNNNNNNNNNNNNNNNNNNNNNNNNNNNNNNNNNNNNNNNNNNNNNNNNNNNNNNNNNNNNNNNNNNNNNNNNNNNNNNNNNNNNNNNNNNNNNNNNNNNNNNNNNNNNNNNNNNNNNNNNNNNNNNNNNNNNNNNNNNNNNNNNNNNNNNNNNNNNNNNNNNNNNNNNNNNNNNNNNNNNNNNNNNNNNNNNNNNNNNNNNNNNNNNNNNNNNNNNNNNNNNNNNNNNNNNNNNNNNNNNNNNNNNNNNNNNNNNNNNNNNNNNNNNNNNNNNNNNNNNNNNNNNNNNNNNNNNNNNNNNNNNNNNNNNNNNNNNNNNNNNNNNNNNNNNNNNNNNNNNNNNNNNNNNNNNNNNNNNNNNNNNNNNNNNNNNNNNNNNNNNNNNNNNNNNNNNNNNNNNNNNNNNNNNNNNNNCACAACUGCGUUCCGCCGGUUUCCCGGGUCGCAGGUCAGGAAGCCGGCUGGCCUAGGAGCGCUUUUCUCCCCAAAGGGGCUCGCGGGUGCGCCGAGUCACGCAGAAUCUUUUACCAUUCCUCUUUUGGCUCCUUUUCUCCUCUGGCUAGCGUUCAAGACGUCUAGGAGACUUAGCUAAUACAUAUGGUGCAGCUAGCUAGCCACGUGGAAAAGGUUGAAUCUGUCCUCCUACCACCUUUCAGGGGGGCGUGGACACGCAUUCACAUUCACCAGUUUGAUAAAAGAUUUAAAAGAAUUUUAAAAUGCUCCUCCCAGGUGAAAAUACGGGAGAAUUUUAAAGAUUCUUGAAGAAGGCCUUUCUAAAUGUUUGAAACACGUAGAAGCCACAUGGGAAAAGAUUAAUAAAUCUGACUAGGUAAAAAACUAAACACUUCUGUGUGGCUCAAAGUCAAAACACAAAUGACCAACUAGGAAAAAUAUUUGCAACAUAUAUAAUAGAUGAAUGGCUGUCGUUCGUCAGGAAAAAAAAAAAAAAGACAGUAGGCAGUUCACAGAGGAAAUAGAAAUGAAAAAUAAGUAAAUAAACUGUUCAAUUUCAAAUGAAAUUGAUGGUAUAUUGUACAAGUUUUCACCUGACAGGUUAGCAGAGAUUUGAAAGUUUGAUGGUACCUUGUGUUGAGGUAUGUGAAGAAGCAGUCAGUCUCAUAAACAGUUGAUAGGAAUAAAAUUACUACACGCGGUUAAUUUUAAUUUUUUAGGAUUUUUUAAUUAAAAAAAAACCUCUUUUUAAGUCUAUUUAUUUUUGAGAGAGACAGAGACAGCGUGAGCAGGGGAGAGGCAGAGAGAGAGACAGGUAGAGAGAUAAGAGAAUCCCAAGCCAACUCCACACUGUCAGCACAGAGCUGGACACAGGGCUCGAACCUACGAAACCAUGAGGUCAUGACCUGAGCCGAAACUCCGAGAGUCCCACGCUUAACCGACUGAGCCACCCAGGUGCCUCAAUAUUUUAUUAAGUAAUCUCUGCACCCAAUGUGGGGCUUGAACUCACACCCCUGAGAUGAAGAGUUGCAUGCCCUGCCAAAUGAGCCAGCUGGGCACCCCAAUGCAUAUGGUUUAGAAAGGAAUUUGAAAAUACUUGUCAAUAUUUUAAAUGCACAUACCCUUUGACUAUCAGUGCAACACCAGGACAUCAUCAAAUGGAUACAUGCAUAUAAGUGUGAAAAUACAUGAGUCCAAAAAUAUUCCUUGCAGCCUGGUUUGUAAUGAUGAAAAACUAGACACAAUCUGAGUGUUGGUCAAUAGAAGACUGAUUAUGUAAGUUUCGGUGCAUGCAGUGGUAGGCAGAAUACCCACCCCCCAAGAUGUCCAUGUCCUAAUCUCUGGCAACUGAAAAUAUGUUACCUCACACAGCAAAAGGGACUCUGCCGGUGUGAUUAAAUUAAAGAACUUGAACUCAUGGUUCAUGAGUUCAAGCCCCACUUCAGGGUCUGUGCUGACAAAGCAGAGCCUACUUGGGAUUCUCUCUCUCCUUCCCUCUCUGCCACUCAUGCUCUCUCUCUCUCUCUCUUUAAAAUGAAUAAAUAAACUUAAAAAAAUAUUAAGGAACUUGAGGGGCACCUGGGUGGCUCAGUCGGUUGAGUGUCCAACUUCAACUCAGGUCAUGAUCUCAAGGUCCAUGAAUUCAAGCCCUGUGUUGGGCUCUGUGCUGACAGUUGGGAGCCUGGAGUCUGCUUCAGAUUAUGUCUCACUCUCUCUGCCUCUCCCCUGCUUGCACUGUCUCUCUCUCUCAAAAUUAAAUAAACAUUUUUUAAAAAUAUUAAGGAACUUGAAAUGGGAAGACUUUCUUGGAUUAUCCAAGUGGGCCCAGUGUAACCCACAAGUCUCUCUAAGACGGAGGCAGGAAAUCAGAGAGGAGAAGGCAAUUGUGACAUAUAAUGCAGAGACUGAAGUGAUUUGGUAACCAAGGAAUUUGGGCAUCUACGAGAAGCUAGAAAAGGCAAUAAAUGAUUCUCCCCUAAAGCUUUCAGAAAGAAUACAGGCCUGCCAAUUCAUUUCAGAAUUGAAAUGGAUUUUCAACUUUUUUUUCAUGUUUAUUUAUUUUUGUGAGAGAGAGAGAGAGCACAAGUGGGGAAUCGGCAAAGAAAGGGAGAAAGAGAGAAUCCUAAGCAGGCUCUGCACCGCUGGUACAGAGCCAGUUGCAGGGCUCAAGUCCACAAACUGUGAGAUCAUGACCUGAGUCGAAGUCGGAUGCUUAAUCCACUGAGCCACCCAGGCACCCCUCCAUUUCAAACUUCUACCUCCAGAACUGCAAUAUAAUAAAUCUGUAUUGUCACUAAAUUUGUGGUGAAUUUGUUAUAGCAGCAGGAAGAAAUACAUGUGUACUAGAAGACUAUGCAACUAUCAAAAAGAAUGAAUUAGAAUAUGUGCACAUAUAGAAAGACAAUCCAGUAUUUAAGUUGUUGUCCUGGCACACACAACUGAAGGAGAAAAGGCAUGCACACCGGGACGGGCAGAAUGUGACUACUGCCAAGAAAGUAAUGCAGACAGGGUGAUCUUACGGAAUCUCAUCGCUGGCUUCUUGACCAUCUACGAACACAAUCUGAGGACGUUAGUCUUUGCGAGUUGGUCUGUCAAGUGUCAAUAAUAAUGUGACAAUAAUCAUAUGAAUACAGCAUUUAUACUUUAAUAGUUGUCAUUUAGUUAGCAGUAACCAUGGGCCAGGUUAUUUAUGUUUUAUUUCAUUUAUCCUUGACCGACUCUGUAACAGAGGGGUUUAUCCUCACUUUAUAGAUGAGAAGAAAACUGAGGCUCAGUCAAUAUAAGUGAUCAAUCUAUAAUCUUAACUGCUAUUUUGUAUUGUAUUCUCCUGCUCGGGUCUUAGAAACAACUCUACUAAAAGGGCUCUUAUUAUGUGAUGCACGGAGGCCUUCAUAAUUUAGCCUUAAUUCCCCCUCUGUCUUCAUUUCCCAUCACCCUCUCCUUGCUCACUCUGUCCUGGUCACAUUUCCUGUGUUUCUCAAAUAUUUCAACCCCCCCCCGNCGCCCCCCCCCCCCCCAGUGUAACAGUUUUUUAAUUUGCUCUUCUCUCCGUCUGGAAUGCCCCCAGAUAUUUGCAUGUUUUUUUUUUUCUUCUCCCUCGUUAUUAUUCGGUUUUCUGCACAAAUGCAGCCUCCUGAGAGAGACAGAAAAUGCCCUGUACAAAAAAACAUCCCACACAAAUCUCUGCUGUCAAACCAUCAGUCUCUACCGUGCCCCCUCAUAUUGUUUAGUUCUACUUCAGUGCAGUUAUCACUCCCGACAUGACGUACUUAGUGUUUCCUCUACUAGAGUGGCAGCUUGCUCACCGCUAAAAGCCACAUUCUGAGGCACUGGGGGUUAGGGCUUACUAAUUUUUCUUUGUGAGUGAAGUUCAGCCCGUAACAAAAUCAUGCGAUCUGCGAAUACGGUUUUACUUCUCCCUUUCCAGUCUGGAUUCCCUUUUUUCUCCCUAGGAUAGUCUCUUGCCACCAGCCCCACUGCUAUGAGUUCCGGUCCGAAAACCCCUGGUGUGUUUCAGGCGCUAAGUCUCAAAGACUUGCACGUUUUGCUCCUUCAAUGAGAUCCGCUCUCCUCCACCUCCCUUGCUCCCAUUAACUUUUCAGUUCAGAAAACCUUUCUUGACUCCCCCGUGGCCUCCAAGGCCCUUUUCCUGUGUUCCUCUUCUGUCCGCAGCCCCUUGUAUUUCCCCCAUCACAGCGCUGACCACACUGCCUCGUUUACUCAUCUGUCACCAACCUGCAAGUCACCAGGCAGAGACUGCGACUUCUUUGACUUAGCAGGCAAAUGCCCAACCCUUAGUACAGCAAGGAUUAAUCCGGGCAAUGAAACAAAAUUAAAAAUUGAGCGUUCUCUCAUUAUUCUUUAUUUGUAGUCUGCCCUUAAUUACGCUGGCAAUCUUCCCAGGUUUUUUUGUUUGUUUGUUUUUUUCCUUCAAUUCGCGAGUGUAUCGGUGCACCUCGGCCGCCAGCUCCCUCACAAAGGAAACCGGAGGAAUCAGCCAACGCAAGCAAACAGGGCCGGGACACCUUAAACGGACAAGAUGGCGGCCGCCCGUCAGCCGCCACGAGUCUCCACCCACUCAGGGAGGAGGUCUGCGUCAUGUGACCCUUCCCUGCCUGGCUCCGCCUCCGGCCGCAGUGCCUGACGGGAGCAGAGCGGCGAACGAGGGCGUCGGCCAUUUUGUGUCUGUUUCCUGUGGGACGCGGUGGUGGCCGUUGGGUCGGAAGAGUGAGCGAUUUUUGCCUCGUUUUUCCUGUUAGUUUUCCCCCCCUUUCACUUUGUCGGUAGAGCGCAGUUAUGGGUCGCAAGAAGAAGAAGCAGCUGAAGCCGUGGUGCUGGUAUCCUUUGUGGGUUUGAAGUCGAGGCCGAGCGGGGGCGCCGGUUGGUGGUGACUGGGACUGGGAGGCCUUGCUUUGGCCUGUGGCUGAGAGUGUCUGGGAUGUAGGCCUCGAGGUGGGUGGCUUGGUGGCUGGAGCCGGAUCUGGGAAGGUUUCGUGGGAACUGAAUUCCCUAGGGCGAGAGGCUCUGGCAGUUGUGGAUCGUGGGACUCCGUGACUCAGGAGGUUCUUGCUUCGGUGCGAGCGUUGACCUAACCACUGGGAGGCGGCUUGGACCCCUCCACCAAGGACAGUGUCCCCUAAGGAUAUUCUGCCACAUUCUGUUGUUUUGGUGACGAUUCAACAAAGGGACUUUCUUCGAGUAUAAUACGCUGAUUGACUCUGGAGGAUUAGGGGAGAGCUUCCGGAGUGUGUCACCCACUUUUUCCGUUUAAUUGGGGAAUCGGUGGUUUAGGGAAGGCUUGUGUUAGUCAACCAUGGUUUCUUUCUUUCUUUUUUUUUUUUGGCCGGGGGUGGAAUGGGGUGGGGGAGAACUAGCUUCCGCGUCUCACCCGCUGGCGCCUUAAUCUUCAAGAAGCGUAAAGGGUGGAGUUUCUUGUGUCUAUCACCCAGCUUCGUAAGACUGAAAAAAAAAUGCUUUUUAUUUUUUAGUAAAACGUGGCGUCUUUUUAAUACUUUUUUCGGGAAGGGCUAAUACCGUUUACGUUAAAAUUGAUUUACUUCUGUCUCGUACCUAAAAACGGUUACGGAACUGCAUUUGUUUAUAUAAUGGUUGAAAAACGGUCACGAAUUUCUUUAAUGAGCUUUUAGGAAAGUCUGCCCAGUGAGAGAAAAUUUCUCAGUUUUAUUAAUGUAACUUAUCUGUGAGUUUAGAUACAUGCCAUGGCAACAUAUUCGUAAGAAGUUGCAAACAACUUUGUGGAUUAUUCAUACGAAAUUGUGUCAUUCUUACUGUGAGUUUAUUCUUGGAUCUAAAUAAAAUAAAUAUUCCUAAAUUCCAUAUGUUAGGUAGAUUUUUAACAUUUUGAUUAUUUUGUUUUCUAGUUAAUGAGUUCUGUUUUGAAAUCCAUUCUUGACAUAAACUUGGGGAUUUUUUGACAUUGAACUGUCCAGUCCACAGCGUGCAUUUGUAAAUUUUGAAUAUUGAACAGAAGUUAUUUUACCCAAUCUUUGUAAAAUGCGGGGAUUUUACAGUAAUCUUGCUGAUUACUGAGAUGUGUUCGUUUAGAGAUGGUGAGAGAUUAUGGGCAUAAAGUACCUUCUUGGUUUUAACUGCUCUCAUGUUUUAAUGUUCCUCUUCCUAGUCUCGUAAUAUGACAGGUUUUUUUAAUAGGUAGUGUCAUUUUGUGCUAUUUUUGUACCUUAACAAUAUUGAUCAGGUAUUGUAAUAGAGAUUUUGAUGAUGAGAAGAUCCUUAUACAGCACCAAAAAGCAAAACAUUUUAAAUGCCAUAUAUGUCAUAAGAAAUUGUACACAGGACCUGGCUUAGCUAUUCAUUGCAUGCAGGUAAGGAUUUUUUUUCUGUCUUUAACUUUUAACCCCUUGUGUGGAAACAACAUGAAAAGAAAUUAUUUUAACAGUUGUAGGGUUUUGUUUAUUGUGAAAGAUUAGAUAUGGUCAGUCAGCUUAAAAAAAAAAAAAACUGUUUUUUGGCCAUUAAGUUAAAUAAUUGAUUUUUUUUUAUGUUUGAAGAAAACUUAUGUUCAUAGUGUUUAUCUUUAAGUUAUUAAUAAUAUUUUUUAUUUUAGACUGGGAACAAGUUGAGGUCCCAGAGUAUCUCCUCAGUGACUUGAGUUAGAGAACAAAGAUCAGUGAUUUAAAUUUUGUGGUCUGACCAGUUCUAAUCCCAUGAGAAUAAUACAUAAUUAGCUACCAUUACUCUCUGCCAUUGAAGGAUUUGUUACAAUUUCUUGCCUGAGGAUAGGCUUACUUCAGUUAUUAUUCCUUGGACCUCUUUUGGAAAGGUAAUGUGUUUCAUUUAAUGAUGUCUGGGUUUCUUGAGCUUUUCACUACUUAGGUAGGGAGAGCUUUGCAAUUUAUGUUUUUAAGGAUCUAGUAAGUGCCUUUAUGUCUUAUUCAACAUUAUUUCUUCUACUUUGGCCAGUCCUGGUGCUACCUGAAUUUUUGCCUAAUUGGACCCUAGAGAGAGAUGAGAUGAGCAAAUCCCUAUUUAUUGGAAACUACUGUUGGUAGGAGGCGGGGAGGUAAAUUAAAAUAAGAUGUUGUUUCCCCUAGUUAAAAAAUAAGUUUAUUUAAAAAAACAAGUUUAUAUAGAUCCUCUUCAGUUAUGUCACUGUAAUAAUAACUUAAUACCCAUUCAGAAAUAUUUUAGGGCCUGCUAUGUGCUCGACCCAUAACUUUCCACUGUGGCAAUCACUAGUUACAUGUGACUACUUAAAAGAAAAUUUAAAAAUUAAAAAUUUAAUUUCUCCACAUUGUAACCACAUUUCCAAUGUUCAGUCACAUGUGGCUGGUGGAUGACUUGUAUUGGAUAGUACUGAUACAGAAAGAAUAUUACAAUUUAUCACAAAAAAUUUCUGUGAAACAGCAUUGUGUUAAGACAAGUGUUUUAGGCACUAGGUGUACAGCAGUGAAGGAAACAGUCACCAUCAUGGAGUUUAGAUUUAUAUUGUGGAAGAAAACACUGCAGUAUUUAGUUUGCCUUUUCACGAUAAGUGAUAGAGAAAGCUAAAACUAGGUAAGAGGCAUAGGUAGGGCCACAAGAUAGGAAAGACCUGAAUGAGAAGCUGACAUCUGAACAGAUCUGAACGGAAAUGAGAGAGAGCUUCCAGAGAACAGCAAAUGAAAGACCCUGACAUACAGGAGCAUUCUUCUAUAUUGAAAAAGAAAGGGGAGCAAUGUGCUUUAUAUAGAAGGGUUUACUUAUUAUAGGCCAUUUUAUUUCAUUCUGAAUGAAAUGCAAGGUUGAAUAGAGAGAGGUGUAGCAUAUUCUGGUACCUUUUCUUUUUCUUUUUUUUUUUUAAAUAAGGAUUCUCCUGGCUAUAGAGUUGCAAAUAGACAGACUGCAGAAUGCAGUGAGAACACUUAGGAUGACUGGAGUAUUCCAGGCAAGAGGUGAUGGUGACAGAGACCAGAAUUUGCUGAUAGAUUUAGAUGCAGAGUAUAAGAAAGUGAGGAGUUGCAGAUUGAUCUGAAGGUUUUUGGCCUGAGGACUGUGAGAAAUGAGUUAUCGUAUACUAAAAUGUUGAAAGCUGCAGGAAGACUAGGCUUAGAGAUGAGGAUGUCACGAUUGUGUUGUGUUGUUAAUUUUGAGACAGGUCUGUUGACUAUCCAGUUGGAAAUGUCAUAUAAACAAUUGUAUCUGUAAGCCUGGACUUCAGAGAGGUUGGAGCUGGAGGUAGAAAUUUGGAAGGAUGCUGUGGUGAGCAUAGCUAUUUUAAUCCAUGAUACUAGAUGUCGUUUCCUAUUAGAGAGUAGAAUAUAGAUCUAGAAUAGGUGCAGGGACUCCAGCUUGGGCCACUCACAGCACUUAACGGUUAGAAGAUUAAAAGAAACCAUUCAAGGACAUUGAAAAGGUAGGAAAUCCAAGAGAGUAGUGCCCUGGAAACCAAAUGAGAUGAUUAAAGGAGUUACUUAACAGUGAAAUGCUGGUGGUAGGUCUAGGAAGAUGAGGACAGAGAUUGGAUUUAAUCAAAGUGGAGGUCAUUGGUCACUUGCCAAGAGUGAUUUCCUAGAGUGAUGAGGAUGAAAGCCUAAUUGGAGUACUCUCAAGAGAAAAUGAGAAAGUAGAGGCACUGUUUCAAGAAGUUGUACUAUAGAGAAGAACAGAGAAAUGGAAUGGAACUGGAAGGAGAUCAGUUGAGAAACUAUUUUAGUGACAUUGUUGAUUGACCAAGUGCUUUUUUUUUUUAUGGUUUUAGUGUAAUUUCACAGCAACCUGUGAAAUGGGCCUGGCAGUUAAAUCAGACACAUCCUCCAAUUUUAUAGAUGAUAAACUUAGGACGUUAGUAAUUUAGAUGGUUCACAUCAGUGCUUGCUCCACCUAUCUUUUCAACCAAGAUCAUCAUUAUUUCUACUAGGCAAGGUUGUAAGAAGUCUAAUUCUGGCUAGGAUAUUGUGAGGUAGUUAAGUAAAUCAUGUUAUUUUUCUUCUCUUUCCAAUAGCUUUUGAUUAGUAUAUUCUUGCCCUUAUCAUUUAGAAAUAUAACAGAAUAGUUAAUGUGUAUGAAUACAAUUUUAUUACUUUGAGGAACAUAGGAGUUCCUUCAUCAGCAUUUGUCAAGCACAGUAACAUGCCAAAAAACCGGUGUGAUUAAGUCCCUUGUUGAGAAGCUUUGUUCAUGGAUCUUUUAAUCACAGUAAGGAACAAUGGUUAAAGAUCAAUCAAAAAUUAAGAUAAUUUCUGAAUUUGAUUUGCAUGUCUCUGUUUAAAGUCUUUGAGAUAUAUGUCUUAAGAAGAAAACACUUAGUUUUCUUUACUUUUCUGUUCUUGCAUGAAAAUGUUUUGGGAGGAAAGAGAAAAUGAGUAUGAGACAAAUAUGUCCCCCAAAGCAGUGGUUCUCAAGCUUGGGCAUGCCUCAGGAUCACCUGCAGGGCAUGUUAAAACAAAUUGCUAGUCUUAACCAAGAGUUUCUGGUGGAGGGGGUGGGAGGCCCCUGAGAAUUUGCAUUUGUAAUGAGCUUUCAGGUGAUGCUGAUAGUCUAGGCAAAAUACUUUGACAUUUUUUUAGCCUAAGUUAAGGCAAGUUGCUGAAGAAACCAAGACUGACAGGAAUUUUACCAUAUUGGCAGAAGUUACCCAUGUUUGAGGGUUAGAAACAUUUGAUCUAGCAAAAACCAUUAGUAAAAAAAAUCGUAGGUUUCCAGUGUUUUAUAAUAAAAUCUCUUUCUCUUUGUAAUCUGUCAAAUUUAGUGUAAUGACAGGAUCACUGCUGUGGCAGUGUUAAGUGCCUCAGGUAACGCAUUAGUUCUGGAUAUGCUAAUUAUAAGUGCCACUUUUGCAAUUUGUAACUACCAGCUUGUCUCAAGAUCAAUCUUGGAAAUUUUAUGUUAAUUCUUCAUAUAGUAAGAACUUUCAUAAGCUGUGCUUAAGUCAGACUUGAACCUUCUCUCAUUUGAGUGGGACUGCUGGUUCAUUGCUGAUAAUUCAAACAAGCCAGAUUACAUGGUAAACAAUGUUUAUUGAGUCCUUACUAUGUGUUAGACAUCCUGCCAAAUGCUUUCUGUAUUCACUAUGUUUUAUUUAACAUAUAUAAUUUAAUACCUGUAACGUAACAGGUAUUAAAUAGUUUUAUAUAUUUACUUACAUAAUUAUAUAAAUUGUAUGAUUUAAUGCAUUUAUUCCUAAAAAUGAUGCUAGAUGUUAGGUAGUGUAUAUAGGUUGGAUAAUCUUAAAUCAGAGGAUUUGCGUAGUCUCACAUACCUAGUAAGUAAGCAACAAAACUGGGGAUUGAAUCCAGAUAGUCUCACCACAGAACAAGUUAUUCUUAAUGAUUAUACUAAGUGUUCUCUGAGUAAUUUCAGAUUGCUCUUAAAGGACUUUAUGAGACACUUUAUCUAAUGGAAGUUUGUUUUAAUGUUAGGUGCAUAAAGAGACAAUAGAUGCUGUACCAAAUGCAAUACCUGGGAGAACAGACAUAGAAUUGGAAAUAUAUGGUAUGGAAGGUAUUCCAGAAAAAGACAUGGAUGAAAGAAGACGACUUCUUGAACAGAAAACGCAGGGUAAACCUUAAGAUGUGUGCUUUUUCUUAACACAGCUUCACUAAUGAGAGUAUUACUACUACUUUGAGGUAUAAAUUUAAUAGUGGAUGUUAUUCAAAAUUCCAAUUUUGAGGGGUUUUUUUAAUACUUAUUUGAGAGAGCAAGCAUGUGCGUGAGUGGGGGAGUGGCAGAGAGAACUCAAUAACUGAGAUGAUGGUCUGAGUUGAAAUCAAGAGAUGCUUAACUGACUUAGCCACCAACACUAUUUUUUUCAAGUUUAUUUUGAGAACAAUGGAGACAACACAAGUGGGGUCGGGGAAGAGAGGGAAUCCUUAGCAGGUUGCAUGCUGUCAGCACAGAGCCCCAUGUGUGGCUCGAAUCCAUGAAACUGAGAUCAUGUUCUGAGCCAAAAUCAAGAUUCAGACGUUCAGCCGACUAAGCACCCCAAGCAUCCUGAGUUUUAUUGUUUCUUAUGUCUUAAUAUUUGAAGUUGUAUAUUUGAUUUGUAUAUAUGUAAUAUCACAUGGAUUAUUCCAAACACUUUAUUAUAAUAUAGUUUUGUUCAUAACUGCAUUCUAAGUGGAAUUAGCAAGUGUUGAGGUUUCUGAAAAUGAAGGUAGCUUGUUUUGAUUUGAUUAUAUAACCACUAAUAGUAAAUUUUUUGGUAAUGCUGUUACUUGACUUGGAAUUUACAAUCACUUAUUAUCCAGAUGGUAGAAGUUAUCAAUUAUGAAAAAAAAAAUUUUUUUUAAGUAAGCUCUACACCCAACGUAAAGCUUGAACUCGUAGCCCUGAGAUCAAGAGUUAAAUGCUCUAUUGACUGAGCAAGCCAAGUGCCCUGAAAGUUUUUGUUUUCGAAAGCAUUGUAGAAAGGUCAGACCUCUUUGUCAUAGUUUACCUUUUGAGAUGGAAUAGAAAGCUGUUUUGUUUUUGUUUUUCAAAAAAAAUGAGGAAAAUUAUUUAAAGUUUACUUCUUUUGAGAAAGAGAGCACAAGCAGGGGAGGGGUAUGGGAGGAGGGACAAGAGAGAAUUUCAAGCAGGCUCUGCACCAUGAGCAUGGAGCUCAUUGUGGGGCUCGAUCUCCCGAACUCCAAGAUUAUGACCUGAGCUGAAGUUGUAUGCUUAACUAAGCCACCCAGGUGCCCCGUAGGAAAAUUAUUUUUUACCUGUCAGAAUAGGGAAAGGAUGUUAACCUUCUUGCUUAAUAGAGAUUGAAAACACAUUUGAAGAGUAAAAAGAAUAAUAUUGACUGAAUUUCUUUGCAAGAAAAAUCUCAUGAGCUAAUUACAGUGAAAUAACUUUUUUUGAUGUUGAAUGUCUUAAGCUUGCUUAGUUUUUUUUUUUUUUUUUUUUUACUUCUUGGGAAAAAUUAAUUAAAACUUUUGUUAGCAGAGAGUCAAAAAAAGAAGCAACAAGAUGAUUCUGAUGAAUAUGAUGAUGAUGACUCUGCAGCUUCAACUUCAUUUCAGCCACAGCCUGUUCAACCUCAGCAAGG
rnacentral:lncRNA from 1 species